GUGAGGAAUAUUGGUCAAUGGGCGAGAGCCUGAACCAGCCAAGUCGCGUGAAGGAAGAAGGAUCUAUGGUUCGUAAACUUCUUUUGCAGGGGAAUAAAGUGCGGGACGUGUCCUGUUUUGUAUGUACCCUGAGAAUAAGGAUCGGCUAACUCCGUGCCAGCAGCCGCGGUAAUACGGAGGAUCCGAGCGUUAUCCGGAUGUAUUGGGUUUAAAGGGUGCGUAGGUGGUUUGAUAAGUCAGCGGUGAAAGUUUGCAGCUUAACUGUAAAAAUGCCGUUGAAACUGUCGGACUUGAGUGUAAAUGAGGUAGGCGGAAUGCGUGGUGUAGCGGUGAAAUGCAUAGAUAUCACGCAGAACUCCGAUUGCGAAGGCAGCUUACUAAGCUACAACUGACACUGAAGCACGAAAGCGUGGGGAUCAAACAGGAUUAGAUACCCUGGUAGUCC
rnacentral:rRNA from 1 species